ensembl:lncRNA
AACGUUUCUCAUGAUGUACUCUGCAUAGAAGUUAAAUAAGCAGGGUGACAGUAUACAGCCUUGACGUACUCCUUUUCCUAUUUGGAAUCAGUCUGUUGUUCCAUGUCCAGUUCUAGCUGUUGCUUCCUGACCUGCAUACAGAUUUCUCAAGAGGCAGGUCAGGUGGCCUGGUAUUCCCAUCUCUUGAAGAAUUUUCCACAGUUUAUUGUGAUCCACACAGUCAAAGGCUUUGGCAUAGUCAAUAAAGCAGAAAUAGAUGUUUUUCUGGAAUUCUCUUGCUUUUUCCAUGAUCCAGCAGAUGUUGGCAAUUUGAUAUCUGGUUCCUCUGCCUUUUCUAAAACCAGCUUGAACAUCAGGGAGUUCAUGGUUCACGUAUUGCUGAAGCCUUGCUUGGAGAAUUUUGAGCAUUACUUUACUAGCAUGUGAGAUGAGUGCAAUUGUGCAGUAGUUUGAGUAUUCUCUGGCAUUGCCUUUCUUUGGGAUUGGAAUGAACACUGACCUUUUCCAGUCCUGUGGCCACUGCUGAGUUUUCCAAAUUUGCUGGCAUAUUGAGUGCAGCACUUUCACAGCAUCAUCUUUCAGGAUUUGAAAUAGCUCCACUGGAAUUCCAUCAUCUCCACUAGCUUUGUUCGUAGUGAUGCUUCCUAAGGCCCACUUGACUUCACAUUCCAAGAUGUCUGGCUCUAGGUGAGUGAUCACACCAUUGUGAUUAUCUGGGUCGUGAUCUUUUUUGUACAGUUCUUCUGUGUAUUCUUGCCACCUCUUCUUAAUAUCUUCUGCUUCUGUUAGGUCCAUACCAUUUCUGUCCUUUAUUGAGCCCAUCUUUGCAUGAAAUGUUCCCUUGGUAACUCUAAUUUUCUUGAGGAGAUCUCUAGUCUUUCCCAUUCUGUUGUUUUCCUCGAUUUCUUUGCAUUGAUCGCUGAAGAAGGCUUUCUCAUCUCUUCUUGCUUUUCUUUGGAACUCUGCACUCGGAUGCUUAUAUCUUUCCUUUUCUCCUUUGCUUUUCACUUCUCUUCUUUUCACAGCUAUUUGUAAGGCCUCCCCAGACAGCCAUUUUGCUUUUUUGCAUUUCUUUUCCAUGGGGAUGGUCUUGAUCCCUGUCUCCUGUACAAUGUCACGAACCUCAUUCCAUAGUACAUCAGGCACUCUAUCUAUCAGAUCUAGGCCCUUAAAUCUAUUUCUCACUUCCACUGUAUAAUCAUAAGGGAUUUGAUUUAGGUAAUACCUGAAUGGUCUAGCGGUUUUCCCUACUUUCUUCAAUUUAAGUCUGAAUUUGGCAGUAAGGAGUUCAUGAUCUGAGCCACAGUCAGCUCCCAGUCUUGUUUUUGCUGACUGUAUGGAGCUUCUCCAUCUUUGGCUGCAAAGAAUAUAAUCAAUCUGAUUUCAGUGUUGACCAUCUGGUGAUGUCCAUGUGUAGAGUCUUCUCUUGUGUUGUUGGAAGAGGGUGUUUGCUAUGACCAUUGCAUUCUCUUGGCAAAACUCUAUUAGCCUUUGCCCUGCUUCAUUCCGCAUUCCAAGGCCAAAUUUGCCUGUUACUCCAGGUGUUUCUUGACUUCCUACUUUUGCAUUUUUUCCCGUCCCCAAGACUGAGAGAUAGGGAAACUUAAAUAGGUGAGAUACCCUUCAUCCAAGGUCAGGAGCAGCGGGUGCACUUUGCUGGAGCAGCCGUGAAGAGAUACCCCAUGCCUGAGGUAAGAGAAACCCAAGGAAGAUGGUAGGUGUUGCAAGAGGGCAUCAGAGGGCAGACACACUGAAACCAUACUCACAGCAAACUAGUCAAUCUAAUCACACUAGGACCACAGCCUUGUCUAACUCAAUGAAACUAAGCCAUACCGGUGCGGCAACCCAAGACGGGCGGGUCAUGGUGGAGAGGUCUGACAGAAUAUGGUCCACUGGAGAAGGGAAUGGCAAACCACUUCAGUAUUCUUGCCUUGAGAACCCCAUGAACAGUAUGAAAAGAUAAAAUGAUAGGAUACCAAAAGAGGAACUCCCCAGGUCAGUAGGUGCCCGACACGCUACUGGAGACCAGUGGAGAGAUAACUCCAGAAAGAAUGAAGGGAUGGAGCCAAAGGAAAACAAUACCCAGCUGUGGAUGUGACUGGUGAUAGAAGCAAGGUCCGAUGCUGUAAAGAGCAAUAUUGCAUAGGAACCUGGAAUGUCAGGUCCAUGAAUCAAGGCAGAUUGGAAGUGGUCAAACAGGAGAUGGCAAGAGUGAACGUCGACAUUGUAGGAAUCAGCGAACUAAAAUGGACUGGAAUGGGUGAAUUUAACUCAGAUGACCAUUAUAUCUACUACUGCGGGCAGGAAUCUCUCAGAAGAAAUGGAGUAGCCCUCAUGGUCAACAAAAGAGUCCGAAAUGCAAUACUUGGAUGCAGUCUCAAAAUGACAGAAUGAUCUGUGUUCAUCUCCAAGGCAAACCAUUCAAUAUCACAGUAAUCUAAUUCUGUGCCCCAACCAGUGACGCUGAAGAAGCUGAAGUUGAACGGUUCUAUGAAGAACUACAGGAGCUUUUAGAACUAACACCCAAAGAGUCUUCUCAUAGAUUGCUGCUAUUUUGGAAAGCCAUUCGCAGUGUUGAGUAAGAGUCACGUGGAAGUGGGGAGUUGUAGGAGGAGAAGCACACAAGGCCUGCUCAAGAAUAUUGUUGGUGGCAGAGAAAGAGAACUAGGGCUUGGGCAGCAAGAACUCAUUUUUUUCCCGAAGCAAAAGCUAUGGAGUCAGCUUGUGGUGGUGGUGGUGGUGGUGGUGGUUUAGUCGCUAAGCCAGGUCCAACUAUUGUGACCCCAUGGACUAUAGCCCUCCAGGCUCCUCUGUCCAUGGGAUUUCCCAGGCAAGAAUACUGGAGUGGGUUGCCGUUUCCUUCUCUAGGGGAAUCUUCCUGACUCAGGGGUCAAACCCAGGGAUUGAACUGAGUCCCCUGGAUUGAGGUGGAUCCUGUAAUGCUGAGCCACCAGUGUGGUUGAAUACGUUGUUUUUGUUUAGUCACUAAAUCAUGCCGACUUCUCUGUGAUUAGCCUUGCCAGGCUCCUCUGUCCAUGAAACUUCCUGGGCAGGAAUAUUGGAGUGGUUGCUGUUUCCUUCUCCAAGGGAUCUUCCAGACAUAGGGAUCAAACCUGAGCCUCCUUCUUGGCAGACGGAUUCUUUAUCACUGAGCCACCUGGGAAGCCCUGUUGAAUACAUAGAAUUUGUUUUAUUUGAGCUACUGUGUAGCUGAAUAGCUAGGAUGCCAUAUUGGAGCCAGUCUGCCUGAGUUCAAAUUCCAGUUGUCCUUGAAGACGGCUGUGUGAUCUUCUGCAAACUGCUUAACGUCUUUGAGCUUCCCUUUCCUCCUUUGUGAAAAAGGGUUAAACUUCUCUUGCCAGUAGGGCUUUGUGAGAGUUAAAGGUUCAUAUAAAUAUUUGUUGGAUGAUACUGAGCAUUCAGUAAAUGGUAGUUACCCAUGGUUGAAUGGAACUUUAGUUUCACCUCUAGGGAGAAAUUAGUCUCAAUUCAAGUACCAACCUACCAGCUGUAGAAACUGUCGUAUUAAAUAGCCUGAUCUGAAGUCAUACAUCUGAAAGUUCUUAUGGACAUUUAUUUUCUCAAUUAACUUUAAUUUGACCAUUUUAUGUUAGAUAGUGCGGUUUGUAAGAAUUAAUGAUUUGGGUUAUGUUUGUUACGUGUCUAUCCAUUCAUCCAAAAAAUAUUAGCAGAUUCUCCUAUUCCCAGCUGUGGACUAUUCCUCAUGAGGAAAUAAAGAUUAGAACAGCCAGACUGGCCAUGGAGAAAUCAAGACGUAAGAAUGAAUAUGUAUGAGUACCAAUGAGAGGGUUUCAGACAAACUUUAGGAAACUUGGUUAAAUUUCAGAUAAACUGAGUAAUUUUUUGUAUGAGUAGGUUCCUGGUGUCACAGCUGACUGUGUGGGAUCUGCUGUGUCCUCCUGCCCUCUCUUCCCACUUUUCUUUCUAAAGCCACGUGGGCACCUGUAGGUCCAGGAACGUCAGAUGGACUUACCAGCUGGAGCCUCCUGGGAGAUGACGGAUAAGUCCAGUUCACCAUAAGGACGUUCUCCAAAUUAUGAUAAAAGGUGUUGGUGAGGAUGUGAAGAAAAUGGAAGAUUCCUAUAUUGCUGGUGGGGACAUAAAAUGAUGCAGCCACUUUGGAAUAUAAUUCAAUGGUUUCUGAAAGAUAAAAUUAUCAUAAGUUAAUUUCAGUUGCUCAGUCAUGUCUGGCUUUUUGCUGCCCCAUGGACUGCAGCAUUCCAGGCUUUCCUGUUCUUUACCAACUCCCAGAGCUUGCUCAAACUCAUGUCCAUUGAGUCAGUGAUGCCAUCCAACCGUCUCAUCCUCUGUCGUCCCCUUCUCUUCCUGCCUUCAGUCUUUCCCAGCAUCAGCGUCUUUUCCAAUACUUUGGCUGCCUGAUGCAUACUGACUCCUUGGGAGAGUUACCAUAGGACACAGCUGUUACUUUCCACUAUUUAUUUAAGAGAAGUGAAAGCGGGUCUUCAAAACAGCACUACUGUUUUAUUAUUUAUUUAUGCCUAAAGAUGUCCAUCAACUGAUGAAUAAAGUGUUGAAUAUCCCACAUAGUGAAGUACUAUUUGUCAUUAAAAAGGAGCAAAAUACUGAUAUGGUUGUAAUGUGGGUGAACCUGAAAAAUAUUAUGCUAAGUGAGAGAAGCCAUCUGUAAAAGGUAAAGGUAGUAUUAUACAUAUCAUCUUAUUCUUCUCAUAUGAAAUGUCAAACAAGGCCAAUGUACAAAGACAGAGGGCUUCCCUGAUGGCUCGGUGGUAAAGAAUCUGCCUGAAAUGCAGGAGACCCAGGUUCAUUCCCUGGGUUGGGAAAAUCCCCUGGAGAAGGAAAUGGCAACCGCUCCAGUGUCCUUGCCUGGGAAGUCCCACGGACAGAGGAGCCUGGCGGGCUAGUCCAUGGGGUCCCCAAAGAGUCAGACACGACUUAGUGACUACACAGCACCAAUAAAGACGGACAGCAGGUGGUCGGUUGCCAGGCCCUUUGCAUAACUGUUACUGUUAUAACCCUCACCAGCCUGCAGGAUUCGACUGCAUGCGUACUCCUCACUCCCGGCGUGUCUGACUCUCUGUGACCCCCCUGGACUGUAGCCCGCCAAGCUCCUCUGUCCAUGGGAUUCUCCAGGCAAGAAUAACAGAAUGGGUUGCCAUGCCCUCCUCCAGGGGAUCUUCCUGACUCAGGUUGAACCUACAUCUCUUAAAGUCUCCUGCAUUGCAGGGUGGAUUCUCUAUCACUAGCACCACCUGGAUUUGAUUAUUUGGUCUGUAACAUGCUGAGAAUUUCUGGGUUUCCAUGUUUUUGACAACUUUGGUGGGGCAACUGUUACCCUAUUUACUUUGCAUACCUAGAGUGUAAUGAGACUUGCAAAGUCAAAAGAAGAAAACACCACUUCAGUGUACAGUCUGUAAAUAAUCAGAUCUUACUAUGAUCUGAAUCAUUUUUGGUCUCUCCCUGACAGGCAGAUUCUUCGGGUGAUGUGGCGUUCCGUCCACAGCUCAACCUACUAGGAACGGGAACUGGCAGGUUUCACUGGGGCUGUCAGGCGACGCCUACAUGAGCAGCUCCUGGCGUUUGGCAAGGGGAGAUUCAGAUUUGUUUCCCAUUGGAAUACAUUUGUAAAAAAUCGAGCUUAUUAGAACAAAUUUGCUCAAACAAUGCAAGACACAUUAUCUAGGGAAAAGGAGUCACUUUCCCUCUUCGUUUUUCCUAUGUAAACCUGGCCUGUGCUUUCAAUAGCAACUUCAUGGUCAGAUUGCUGAGGAGUGACGUGGUGUGACCCCAGGAGUUAUGCUUGCUUUACUGGCAUGCUUUCGUCAUCGCAGUGUCUGACACACAGAAGAACAUGUGAACACGCAGUGAGAAGACGGUGGUCUGCAAGCCAAGGACAGAGACCUCCGAGGAAACCAGCCUUGCCAGCACCUGAUCUCAGACUUCAACCUCCAGAAUUAAAGUGAAAGUGAAGUUGCUCAGUCGUGUCCGACUCUUUGCGACCCUGUG